rnacentral:rRNA from 1 species
UACAGAGGGGGCAAGCGUUAUUCGGAAUUAUUGGGCGUAAAGGGCGCGUAGGCGGCUUGGCAAGUGGAUGGUGAAAUCCCUCGGCUUAACCGAGGAACUGCCGUCCAAACUGCUUUGCUUGAGGCCGGGAGAGGCGAGUGGAAUUCCCAGUGUAGCGGUGAAAUGCUUAGAUAUGACAUAGAACACCGAUAGCGGAGGCAGCUUGCUACACAGUCAUUGACACUGAGGCACGAAAGCGUGGGGAUCAAACAGG